AAAUGCGAUAAGUAAUGUGAAUUGCAGAAUUCAGUGAAUCAUCGAAUCUUUGAACGCACCUUGCGCUCCUUGGUAUUCCUUGGAGCAUGCCUGUUUGAGUAUCAUGAAAUCUUCAAAGUAAAUCUUUUGUUAACUCAAUUGGUUUCUACUUUGGUAUUGGAGGUCUUUGCAGCUUCACACCUGCUCCUCUUUGUUCAUUAGCUGGAUCUCAGUGUUAUGCUUGGUUCCACUCGGCGUGAUAAGUUAUCUAUCGCUGAGGACACUGUAAAAGGUGGCCAAGGUAAAUGCAGAUGAACCGCUUCUAAUAGUCCAUUGACUUGGACAAUACUUUUAUGAUCUGACCUCAAAUCAGGUAGGACUACCCGCUGAACUUAAGC
rnacentral:misc_RNA from 1 species